CUUUAGUAGACAAGUCUGGCACAAACUCAGCAUUUUCUCUCCUCUUUCGCUAGCUUAUAUGAGAAUCUGAAACACUAUAGUCAAGUACACAGCAUUGCCUGAACUGCCCAGUGUCCUACGAUCCCUCUGGACAAUUAGGAAAAGCUGCAUUAGCAAGAACUCAGCAUUCUCUGUCUCACUUUUCUCUGGAGAACUGGGGAAAUGAUGAGCUCCAUCACCUGGCCAGCAGCAGCAGCAGCCACAAAGUCACCUCAGGGACUUGGACGAAGAGAUUCAUCUGCAGCCUUGGCAGCGACUGAACUUCCUCUGCUUGGCAUCAGACUGGUUUUUUGUCCUUUUGUACACUCUGGCCAACAUGGCUGCAAGAACCUUCUCCUCUGCAAUGCCUGCCAUCUGGAACCACCGUGCUGCAUUUCUCUCCCUCAUUCUCCAUCUAUUUUCAGCCUUCAUCUGGAAACAAUAUGUCUCUGUUCUCAUGUCUGGGUCUCUUAACUUCUAGUAAAAAGGGAAAAAAACUUUUAACUUUAUUAACUCUGCAUAGUGUUUUGGAGAUAAAUUUUGUGCGAAAGAUACUAUACAAAACCAUUUCUUUAUUAAAUCACACAAUUGCAGGGGCAGAAUUUACAAUAAAAAGUGAUCUAGAAAUACUUCCUGUUCUGUUAAAUUUAAUAUACAAGGCUGUGUGAAUUUCUUAAGAAAUAGCUUCAAUAUAGAAUGAAAAAAGUUCCUAUUUUUGUAAUUCAUUCAUACUUUUAGAAAAAACAGCCAUGAGUUGGCUCACUUUUCAAAAGU